CCUACGGGUGGCUGCAGUGGGGAAUCUUCCGCAAUGGGCGCAAGCCUGACGGAGCAAUGCCGCGUGAGUGACGAAGGCCUUCGGGUUGUAAAACUCUGUCCUUAGGGAAGAACGGUCUAUAUGUGAAUAAUGUAUAGAAAUGACGGUACCUAAGGAGGAAGCCCCGGCUAACUACGUGCCAGCAGCCGCGGUAACACGUAGGGGGCGAGCGUUGUCCGGAAUCACUGGGCGUAAAGAGCACGUAGGCGGAUUAUUAAGUCAGAUGUGAAAACUCUGGGCUCAACCUAGAGACUGCAUCUGAAACUGGUAGUCUUGAGUAUAGAAGAGGAGAGUGGAAUUCCUAGUGUAGCGGUGAAAUGCGUAGAUAUUAGGAGGAACACCAGUGGCGAAGGCGACUCUCUGGUCUAUAACUGACGCUGAGGUGCGAAAGCGUGGGGAGCAAACAGGAUUAGAUACCCCUGUAGUC
rnacentral:rRNA from 1 species